rnacentral:rRNA from 1 species
GACGAACGCUGGCGGCGUGCUUAACACAUGCAAGUCGAACGGAAAGGCCCUGCUUUUGUGGGGUGCUCGAGUGGCGAACGGGUGAGUAACACGUGAGUAACCUGCCCUUUACUUUGUGAUAACUUCAGGAAACUUGUGCUAAUACCGGAUAGGAGCUCCUGCUGCAUGGUUGGGUUUGGAAAGUUUCGGCGGUUGGGGAUGGACUCGCGGCUUAUCAGCUUUUUGGUGGGGUAGUGGCUUACCAAGGCUUUGACGGGUAGCCGGCCUGAGAGGGUGACCGGAGAAAAUGGGACUGAGAUAAGGCCCAGAAUACUACGGGAGGAAGAAGUGGGGAAUAUUGCAAAAUGGGCGGAAGCCUGAUGCAGCAACGACGCGUGCGGGAUGACGGCCUUCGGGUUGUAAACCGCUUUAGCCUGUGACGAAGCGUGAGUGACGGUAAUGGGUAAAGAAGCAACGGCUAACUACGUG